rnacentral:rRNA from 1 species
GGGGAAUUUUGGACAAUGGGCGCAAGCCUGAUCCAGCCAUGCCGCGUGCAGGAUGAAGGCCUUCGGGUUGUAAACUGCUUUUGUACGGAACGAAAAAGCUCUCUCUAAUACAGGGGGUGAAUGACGGUACCGUAAGAAUAAGCACCGGCUAACUACGUGCCAGCAGCCGCGGUAAUACGUAGGGUGCGAGCGUUAAUCGGAAUUACUGGGCGUAAAGCGUGCGCAGGCGGUUAUGUAAGACAGAUGUGAAAUCCCCGGGCUCAACCUGGGAACUGCAUUUGUGACUGCAUAGCUAGAGUACGGCAGAGGGGGAUGGAAUUCCGCGUGUAGCAGUGAAAUGCGUAGAUAUGCGGAGGAACACCGAUGGCGAAGGCAAUCCCCUGGGCCUGUACUGACGCUCAUGCACGAAAGCGUGGGGAGCAAAC